CACUUACUCACUCCGUCCAACAAAAGAUGUUCCAAGUUUGACAAAAUUUGGAUGUAUCAAAACAUGAAUUAGUUUAUAGAUGCAUUCAAAUUUAGUCAAAAUUAAAACAUGCUUUGUUGGACGGAGGAAGUGUUAU
rfam:Brachypodium distachyon strain Bd21 chromosome 4, whole genome shotgun sequence.